rnacentral:tRNA from 1 species
GCUCGGGUGGUGGAAUUGGCAGACACGCUGCCCUUAGGAGGCAGUGCCGCGAGGCGUAUGGGUUCGAGUCCCUUUCCGAGCA